GAUGAAGAACGUAGCGAAAUGCGAUAAGUAAUGUGAAUUGCAGAAUUCAGUGAAUCAUCGAAUCUUUGAACGCACAUUGCGCCGCCAGUAUUCUGGCGGGCAUGCCUGUCUGAGCGUCAUUUCAACCCUCAUGCCCCUAGGGCGUGGUGUUGGGGAUCGGCCAAAGCCCGCGAGGGACGGCCGGCCCCUAAAUCUAGUGGCGGACCCGUCGUGGCCUCCUCUGCGAAGUAGUGAUAUUCCGCAUCGGAGAGCGACGAGCCCCUGCCGUUAAACCCCCAACUUUCCAAGGUUGACCUCAGAUCAGGUAGGAAUACCCGCUGAACUUAAGCAUAUCAAUAAGCGGAGGA
rnacentral:misc_RNA from 1 species